UUAAAUGGCCGCAGUAAUUUGACUGUGCAAAGGUAGCAUAAUCAUUAGUUUUUUAAUUAAAAGCUUGUAUGAAAGGUUGGACGAGGUAAAUACUGUCUCUAUUUAAUUUAUUUUAGAAUUUAAUUUUUAAGUUAAAAAGCUUAAAUUUUUAUAAAAGACGAGAAGACCCUAUAGAUCUUUAUAAAUUUUUUAUUAAUAUAAAUUUAGAUUUAUUAAUAUUUUAAUAUGAAAUUUAUUUUAUUGGGGUAAUAGAAAGAUUAGAAAAAUUCUUUUUUUAUAUAUAUAUUUAUUUAUAUUUUAUUGAUCCAUUAUUAUUGAUUAUAAG
rnacentral:rRNA from 1 species